rnacentral:rRNA from 1 species
GAUGAACGCUGGCGGCGUGCUUAACACUGCAAGUCGAACGGUGAAGCAGGAGCUUGCUCUUGUGGAUCAGUGGCGAACGGGUGAGUAACACGUGAGCGACCUGCCCCGGACUCUGGGAUAAGCGCUGGAAACGGCGUCUAAUACUGGAUAUGUGAUGUAACCGCAUGGUCUGCAUCUGGAAAGAAUUUGGGUGGGGGAUGGGCUGGCGGCCUGUCAGCUUGUGGGUGAGGUAAUGGCUCACAAAGGCGUCGACGGGUAGCCGGCCUGAGAGGGUAACCGGCCACACUGGGACUGAGACACGGCCCAGACUGCUACGGGAGGCAGCAGUGGGGAAUAUUGCACAAUGGGCGGAAGCCUGAUGCAGCAACGCCGCGUGAGGGAUGACGGCCUUCGGGUUGUAAACCUCUUUUAGCAGGGAAGAAGCGAAAGUGACGGUACCUGCAGAAAAAGCACCGGCUAACUACGUGCCAGCCGCCGCGGUAA